rnacentral:lncRNA from 1 species
CCAGCCCCACCACCUGUCGCGGCCCACUGAGCCCGAAUCGAGCCCGCCCGCGGCCCGAACCGCAGCAACCGCCUUGGUGCGCCUGACAUCGAGAGAGUAGCACCGAGUCUAGAGAAGAAGCAGCUGCCGCCGAGCUCCUCGCUCGUCGGGCCCUCCAACUGCGCCAUUCCGGCGAGCUGCCGCCGCCGUCGACCACCACGCCGGUGCCCAUGUGCCGCCCAUCUCUCCUCUUCCUUCCCCCUCUCAUCCUAUCUCUGUCUCUCCUGCAGGAGGCCGCUUGGCUGCCAUGGAUCUGAGGAGCGCCCAAGCUCUGCUAGCCUCGCCGCCGACCGGACCUUCGCCGCUGCGCCCGGAGCCGGAGUCCCUACGUCCGGAUCCCCCAUCCUUGACCUCGCUUAUGAGCCACACUGGCCACCACCGCCGUCGGGCGCGUCACCAUGGCGUCGCUCCCUUGACCCGGUGCAGGAUCUGGAGGGGAACGACGACCCUCUUUGGCCCCGCUCCUGGAUCGUGCGCCUUGCCAGUGUGGCCACGUCACGACCCCGGCUCAGCUCCAGCCACGCCCAACACCGUGGCCAACAACACGACCGGCCCGCCUCGCCUCGCUAGCCCAGCCGCGUCGACCGUCAGCCCAGGGCCAUGCUAGUGAGCGGCGCUAGCCUAUUCCCCGCCCGAGCACCAUUUUGUUGUUAUGCGCAUGCCCAUGCUAGCCCGUAUAGCUCGAAAUUCGUUCGAGAGAUGUUUUUUUC